UUGACAGCUCUCACUGCCACCCCCAGAUGGAACAGAUGGGGACUCAGCCCAGCCAGGCUCCAGAACAGCCCCCAGCCACCCCCAUGGCCUGCCACCAUGGUGGGGUGGCCCCGAACCUCCGUCGGCUUUGGUUCUGCAACUUUUUCCAAACCUGAAGCGUGAUUCAUGUCCCAGAUCAACUUGUGGAAUUUCUGAAAGCUGAGGAGUCUGUGCUUCCUAGAGGCUGCCCUACUCCCACCUUUGGUGGCAGCCCGAGAAGGAAGCUGGGAAAACAUGCACCACAUUCUUCCUGCAUGAAGCACCGUCCGCAUCGGGGAGGAAGCGAUGGCUAAGAGCCUGGAUGACUCCCGGCGUCUCAGAUGGCUCUCUGUAAAUGCGUUUAGACUGAUCUUAUUGGACAAGCCCGGUAGUUAUCUGAACCCCCGGACAGCGCACAGUCCAUAAUAUUUUGCCGUUUGCUGACAAAGACCGUGGAUUAUCUCUUCUCCCCAUUGCUGUCGCUUUUCUUCUUAGAGAAAGAAAACACUGGCCAGAGUGGAGUGCUGAAUAUUAUCCCAUUGUCUGGAUGGACCACCGCUGAUUUAUCCAUUCACCUUCUGAAGGACAUCUUGGUUGCUUCUAAGUUUUGGCAGUUAUGAAUAAAUGUGCUAUAAACAUCUGCGUGCCAGUUUCUGUGUGGAUAUGUUUCCAGUUCAUUUGGAUAAAUAUCAAGGAGCGUGAUGGCUGGAUGAUACGGUAAGAGUGUGUUUAGUUCCGAAAGAAAACUCCAAAUUGUCUUCCGAAGCGGCAGCCGUGAGUAAGAGUUCCUCCUCCACAUCCUCCCCAGCAUCUGGUGUCGUCAGUGUUUUUGACCUUGGCCAUUCUCACAGGGGCUUGCUAAGUCAAAAGUGUUGGAAUACUUUCGGAGCCCUCGAUACAUUGUCCUCAGAAAUGGCCACGCAGUUUGCCAUCAGGAUAGGAAAUGUUCAUCCACCCAAAGCUCACCAAUGCAGAGGAU